rnacentral:rRNA from 1 species
ACAGANUGGAUAACACCUGGAAACAGAUGCUAAUACCGGAUAACAACAGAUGAUGCCUAUCAACUGUUUAAAAGAUGGUUCUGCUAUCACUCUUGGAUGGACCUGCGGUGCAUUAGCUAGUUGGUAGGGUAACGGCCUACCAAGGCGAUGAUGCAUAGCCGAGUUGAGAGACUGAUCGGCCACAUUGGGACUGAGACACGGCCCAAACUCCUACGGGAGGCAGCAGGC